CGAUUUUACUCUUCGAUAUACUGAACCAAUUGAUUUUUAAGAGUCGGACAUAUUAUAUGUUUAUAACUUGACCUACAGCCCGAACCACCGUCGCGGGAAUAGGUGCCAACACUGACUAGCACGUAGGUCAUUAGUCGCACGAUGGUUGCCAACAUGAUGGCAUCUGACCGAUGUGCUAUCAUCAUCCAUCAUCGACCAAUUGAUAUGGAGUGAAAUUUGUCAUCAUCUACAAUGGACCUGGUCGCAGUGUCACCACGAGAGGACAACCUCCGCUGGAGCUCAGCUGUCCAUGCUACUUGAGCUCUAGCGGUUUCCCAUAUUGUAAUUGAGGGAAUGCCAUGAUGACAAAAGUAAAUCAUUUGAGUAGGAAGAUUAUUGUUGGAAUUGGAUCUAAUCAUAUUGUAUGCUAAUAUCUGAACAAUUUAGGUAGAACGGUUUGUUACUUUUAUAUGUGAUUAAAUUGAUCUUUGACAUAUGUCUAAACUGUAUCCGUUGAAGUUGACAAUUGAAUGUAAAUGUCUUGAUA